UUAGCCAUGCAUGUGUAAGUAUAAGCGAUUGUACUGUGAGACUGCGAACGGCUCAUUAUAUCAGUAAUAAUUUCUUCGGUAGUUUCUUUUAUAUGGAUACCUGCAGUAAUUCUGGAAAUAAUACAUGCUGUAAGAGCCCUGUAUGGGGCUGCACUUAUUAGAUUGAAGCCGAUUUUAUUGGUGAAUCAUGAUAAUUGAGCAGAUUGACUUUUUUGGCCCAAAAACCCUUUGGUUUUUGGCCCCCCCCUUUUGCACCGGGAAGGGUUUGGCCACCGGGGGCCUAAACGGGGGGCGGGAAGUUAGGGCCCCACCCCGGGAGGGGGCCCCAGAAAAAGGGAACCAAUACCCAGGGAAACACCCGGGCCCAAAAUUCCCCCCGGGGGCCCCCCCCAGGGAAGAGACAAAAAAUACAAAGGAAAAGCGUGUUGCCUUUUGCCUCCGAAAUGGAGCCAAGUGAAAACCCCCCUCCAGGGUCAACGGGAGGGCAAUCUGGGGCCCAGCAGCCCCGGAAAUUCCACUCCCCAAACCUAUGGCCAAAUUUGGUCCCAUUUAAGCUCCCUAAUUAAAUUUGGGAUUUGCCAACGGGGUCUUUCUUAGAGGGGGAUGGUUGUGGGUUGCCUUGCCACCUCUCCUUCCUAUAUGGGAGAAAACCUCCUGGAUCCAAGCAGAGUGUCCCACCGGGCCAAAACCGUAUGUUAUAUAGGGAUAGAUAAUAGGACCUGGGGUCAUUUUUGGUUGCACGCUGAAUAGGUAAUAGAACGUGGGGGUAUCGUAUUAGAGCUAAGGUGAAUUCUGGAUUCGAAACGAAUUAGCGAAGCAUUUCCAAGAGUUUCAUAAUCAAAAGAAAGUUGGGAUUGAGAUAUAUGAUACCCUCUGUGUUACCGUAAACGUGCCGACUUUGAUUGUGGGUGCUUUUUUUAUGGCUCAGCAGCAGCACAUGGGAAUCAAGUCUUGGUUCCGGGGGGAGUAUGUGUGCAAGGCUGAAACUUAAGGAAUUGACGGAAGGGCACCACCAGGAGUGGAGCCUGCGGGUUAAUUGACUCAAAACGGGGAAAAUUUCCCGGUCCCGACAUAGGUAGGAUUGACAGAUUGAGAGCUUUUUCAUGAUUUUAUGGGGGGGGGGGCAUGGCCGUUUUUAGUUGGGGGAGGGAUUUUUUUGGUUAAAUCCGUUAAAGAAAGAGACCUCGGCCUAUUAAAAAGGGGGGGGUAUGGCAACAUAGUACGUUUUUAAUUUUUUGAGGGGCAAGUUCCGGUUUCGGGCCAGGAAGUUGAAGCCAAAACCGGUUUGGGGAGCCCCUAGAAGUUUUGGGCCCCCCCCGCGGUUCCCUGAAGGGGUUCUUGGGGUUUUAAUUUUAAUUUAUGGAAUUGAGUGCUUGGUCGGAAGGCCUGGCUAAUCCUUGGAACGCUCAUCGUGCUGGGGCUAGAUUUUUGCAAUUAUUAAUCUCCAACGAGGAAUUCCUAGUAAACGCAAGUCAUCAGCUUGCAUUGAAUACGUCCCUGCCCUUUGUACACACCGCCCGUCGCACCUACCGAUUGAACGGUCCGAUGAAACCAUGGGAUGUUUCGUGUUUGGAUUCAAUUUUUGGACAGAGGCA
rnacentral:rRNA from 1 species